rnacentral:lncRNA from 1 species
AAAGCAAAAAGAAAUAAACAUCUCAAAUAGAUAAGCAGAAGUUGAACACGACUUUAAGAAAUUCAGAUCACUGAAUCAAAAUUCCAAGGUCCUAGCAUCCACAAUACCCGAGAGCAAGUUUACAAAUCCAUAUAUUUACAUAAUUGAAAUUACAAUUUCAAUCAAAUGAGAAAUGCUUUAGUUCAGGCUGGUGAAUUUCCAUUCUUAUCCCAUUUAGUGACUUGCUCUCUUCCUUUGUGUAUAGUCACAUUCAUAGCAAUCUCCAUGUCUUGUUCAUUAGUUAACUAGCAUCGUGUUUCGAAAAUGCAAGACAAAUCUUGAGUACUGGUGACUGAACUUGCUUAGCACCCGUUUCCUCUUCUUUAAUCCACUCCUAGUAACCACAUUUCACGCU